GCACAAGCGGCGGAGCAUGUGGAUUAAUUCGAUGCAACGCGAAGAACCUUACCUGGGCUUGACAUGUACAGGAUCGGGCUAGAGAUAGUUUUUCCUUUUUAGGUCUGUAUACAGGUGGUGCAUGGUUGUCGUCAGCUCGUGUCGUGAGAUGUUGGGUUAAGUCCCGCAACGAGCGCAACCCUUGUCUUAUGUUGCCAGCACAUUUUGGUGGGGACUCAUGAGAGACUGCCGGGGUUAACUCGGAGGAAGGUGGGGAUGACGUCAAAUCAUCAUGCCCCUUAUGUCCAGGGCUUCACACAUGCUACAAUGGUCGGUACAACGCGCUGCGAGCCUGUGAGGGUAAGCGAAUCGCUGAAAGCCGGCCUCAGUUCGGAUUGGGGUCUGCAACUCGAGCCCAUGAAGUCGGAGUCGCUAGUAAU
rnacentral:rRNA from 1 species